rnacentral:rRNA from 1 species
AGUUGAUUAUGGCUCAAGAACGAACGCUGGCGGCGCGUCUUAAGCAUGCAAGUCGAACGGCAAGAGGUAGCAAUACCUCCUAGAGUGGCGGACUGGUGAGUAACACGUGGGUGACAUACCCUUCAGAUGGGGAUAGCUAUUAGAAAUAGUAGAUAAUACCGAAUACGAGCACAGGGGUUAGAGAUCUGUGAGGAAAGGAGCUAAGGCUCCGCUGAAGGAAUGGCCUGCGGCCCAUUAGCUAGUUGGUGAGGUAAGAGCCCACCAAGGCGAUGAUGGGUAUCCGGCCUUAGAGGGUGAACGGACACAUUGGGACUGAGAUACGGCCCAGACUCCUACGGGAGGCAGCAGCUAAGAAUAUUCCGCAAUGGACGAAAGUCUGACGGAGCGACGCCGCGUGGAUGAAGAAGGCCGGAAGGUUGUAAAAAUCCUUUUGAAACUGAAGAAUAAGCGUUGUAGGGAAUGACAGCGUGGUGACAGUAGGUUUUGAAUAAGCAACGGCUAAUUACGUGCCAGCCGCGGC